rnacentral:tRNA from 2 species
GGUCAGGAUAGCUCAGUUGGUAGAGCAGAGGACUGAAAAUCCUCGUGC